rnacentral:tRNA from 1 species
AGUUUAAUAGUCAAAUAAAAUGAUUUUAAAUUGCAAAUUUAAAGGUAAGUGAUUUUUUAAACUU